rnacentral:rRNA from 1 species
GAUGAACGCUAGCGGCAAGCUUAACACAUGCAAGUCGAGGGGUAUAGUUCUUCGGAGCUAGAGACCUGCGCACGGGUGCGUAACGCGUAUGCAAUCUACCUUUUGCAGAGGGAUAGCCCAGAGAAAUUUGGAUUAAUAACCCAUGGUAUGUGCGAAUUGCAUCAUUUUCACAUUAAAGUCACAACGGCAAAAGAUGAGCAUGCGUCCCAUUAGGUAGUUGGAAAGGUAACGGCUUACCAAGGGAACGAUGGGUAGGGGUCGUGAGAGGGAGAUCCCCCACACUGGUACUGGGACACGGACCAGACUCCUACGGGAGGCAGCAGUGAGGAAUAUUGGACAAUGGGCGCAAGCCUGAUCCGGCCAUGCCGCGUGCAGGAUGACGGUCCUAGGGAUUGUAAACUGCUUUUGUACAGGAAGAAACACUGGUUCGUGAACCAGCUGGACGGUAGUGUAAGAAUAAGGAUCGGCUAACUCCGUGCCAGCCGCCGCAGUAAAAC